GACGAGCGCUGGCGGCGUGCUUAACACAUGCAAGUCGAACGGAAAGGCCCUGCUUUCGUGGGGUGCUCGAGUGGCGAACGGGUGUGUCACACGAGAGUAAUGUGCUCUUGACUUUGGGAUAACUUCAGGACAGUGGGGAUAAUAGCGGAUAGGAGCUCAUGCUGCAUGGUGGGGGUUGGAAAGUUUUGGCGGUUGGGGAUGGACUCGGGGUGUAUGAGCUUGUUGGUGGGGUAGUGGCUUACCAAGGCUUUGACGGGUAGCCGGCCUGAGAGGGUGACCGGCCACAUUGGGACUGAGAUACGGCCCAGACUCCUACGGGAGGCAGCAGUGGGGAAUAUUGCACAAUGGGCGGAAGCCUGAUGCAGCAACGCCGCGUGCGGGAUGACGGCCUUCGGGUUGUAAACCUCUUUCACCUGUGACGAAGCGUGAGUGACGGUAAUGGGUGAAGAAGCACCGGCUAACUACGUG
rnacentral:rRNA from 1 species